rnacentral:rRNA from 1 species
CCUACGGGGGGCUGCAGUGGGGAAUAUUGGACAAUGGGCGCAAGCCUGAUCCAGCAAUGCCGCGUGUGUGAAGAAGGCCUGCGGGUUGUAAAGCACUUUAAGCAGGAAAGAAGGGGUGAAAGUUAAUACCUUUCAUCAUUGACGUUACCUGCAGAAUAAGCACCGGCUAACUCCGUGCCAGCAGCCGCGGUAAUACGGAGGGUGCGAGCGUGAAUAGGAAUUACUGGGGCGAUUGCGUGAGUCCGCCGUGAAAGCCCUGGGCUUAACCUGGGAACUGCGGUCGAUACUGUCGGGCUAGAGUGUGGUAGAGGGGAGUGGAAUUUCCGGUGUAGCAGUGAAAUGCGUAGAGAUCGGAAGGAACACCAGUGGCGAAGGCGGCUCCCUGGACUAACACUGACGCUGAGGUGCGAAAGCGUGGGGAGCAAACAGGAUUAGAUACCCUUGUAGUC